rnacentral:lncRNA from 1 species
UGUGAAUGACACAAGACUGAGCCCUUGUCUCACAUAUCACUGAAUUCCCGGUUAGACUCCUCUGAAGUACUUGCAAUAUCCCACAACUGUUUGGAAAGAUGGUAAAUCUUGGCAGUGUAUUUCAGGACAGCAGAGGGAGGUUUGGAGAAGUCCCAGUCCAUCAAAAGCCACCGUCCUUCUGACAGCAGAGAAGGAGACUUCCUUUAUUCCUUCCCACAGGCCUUGGCUUACAGGAGAGCUGAGAACCAGCAAGGCUUUGCUGAUUGCCAUACAAGAAGAUGGCAUCCCAAGAGACAUCGAAGCUUCUGGAUUCAGUGUGACUCAGAUAUGGAUCAGAGCAUCUUACCUUCAUGAGGGACUACAUGUGUGAGAACUGUGCUGAGAAGACCAGCUGGUGGAAAGUCUUGAGCACUUAUCAAGUGGUAGGCACUUGCUGAGCAUGUUAUGUGCAUCUCUGAUACAUCCAUACAGCUACCUACAUGAUUAUCCCAAUUUACAACCUCAGGUCACCGAGACUCAGCCAGGGCCAACUCACAACUCUGAGUCUCUGGCUCUGGAAGGUGAACUCUUAGUUGCCACACCAUUGUGUCUCUCUUUGAAUCUUUUAAAUGGAAUGAACCUGGUCCCUCUCCUUUCCUUGGAAGACCUUACAGUUAAGAUUCAUGAGUCCUCUCCCUGUAUCAAAAUCAUUGGUUAUAUUCCAGGCAAACCUAUAGAGAACUCUUUGAAGCAACCCCCAAACUGGCCAUGUGGUAAAUUCAGACAUAUAUGCAUUUGUGGCAUCAUCACGUGUUAAGACACAGGGAGCAACUACAGGCAUAAGACCGGGACUCAGCAUUCCAGCCUUGCUACUUGUGCAGUCUCAGGCAAGUUAUGUCCUCCAUGAAAAGGAAACGAUAGAACUCAGGCUUGUUAUUCUAGCUUGCCUUCUGUGUUGCUGUGAUAAAUGCCAUGACCAAAAUCAACUUGGAGAGGAAGGGAGUCAUACUUCCAGAUCACAGUCUAUCACUGAAGGAAGUUAGGCAGGAUCAAGCAGGAACUAAAGAAGAAGCCAUGGAGGAAUGAUGCUUACUAGCUCGUUUCUUGACUCAUGCACAUCUAGCUUUCUUAUAUGGCUCAGACCCACCUACCUAGGAAUGGUGCUGCCCAUAGUGGACAGUGUCUUCCCACAUCAAAUACC